UACAGAGGUCCCGAGCGUUGUUCGGAUUCAUUGGGCGUAAAGGGUUCGUAGGCGGUGUGGCAAGUCGGAAGUGAAAUCUCCAGGCUUAACUUGGAGGCUGCUCCCGAAACUGCCAUGCUAGAGUGCGGGAGAGGCCAGUGGAAUUGCAGGUGUAGCGGUGAAAUGCGUAGAUAUCUGCAGGAACACCCGUGGCGAAGGCGGCUGGCUGGACCGCAACUGACGCUGAGGAACGAAAGCUAGGGGAGCAAACAGG
rnacentral:rRNA from 1 species